rnacentral:rRNA from 1 species
UGCAGUCGACGAGAAGUGGAGCAAUCCAUGAGUAAAGUGGCGCACGGGUGAGUAACACGUGACUGACCUACCUUUUAGUGGGGGAUAACCUAGGGAAACCUGGGCUAAUACCGCAUAACACUUACGGGUCAAAGUCCGCCUCGGCGGACGCUGAAAGAGGGGGUCGCGGCCGAUUAGCUAGUUGGCGGGGUAAUGGCCCACCAAGGCGAUGAUCGGUAUCCGGCCUGAGAGGGCGCACGGACACACUGGAACUGAAACACGGUCCAGACUCCUACGGGAGGCAGCAGUGGGGAAUUUUGCGCAAUGGGGGAAACCCUGACGCAGCAACGCCGCGUGGAGGAUGAAGUCCCUUGGGACGUAAACUCCUUUCGAUCGGGACGAUAAUGACGGUACCGGAAGAAGAAGCCCCGGCUAACUUCGUGCCAGCAGCCGCGGUAAUACGUAGGGGGCAAGCGUUGUCCGGAAUCACUGGGCGUAAAGCGUGCGUAGGCGGUUUGUUAAGUCUGGAGUGAAAGGCCAUGGCUCAACCAUGGGAAUGCUUUGGAAACUGGCAGACUUGAGUACUGGAGAGGCAAGGGGAAUUCCACGUGUAGCGGUGAAAUGCGUAGAGAUGUGGAGGAAUACCAGUGGCGAA